rnacentral:rRNA from 1 species
UACGUAGGGUGCGAGCGUUGUCCGGAAUUAUUGGGCGUAAAGGGCUCGUAGGCGGUCUGUUGCGUCGGUAGUGAAAACUCAGGGCUUAACCCUGAGCCUGCUUCCGAUACGGGCAGACUAGAGGUAUGCAGGGGAGAACGGAAUUCCUGGUGUAGCGGUGAAAUGCGCAGAUAUCAGGAGGAACACCGGUGGCGAAGGCGGGUCUCUGGGCCGAUACUGACGCUGAGGAGCGAAAGCGUGGGGAGCAAACAGG